GGGGGUGUACUGGCUUCGACUUGGAAAUGAACUAUUGAACGCAUGCGGAGGAUAUCGGUUGGCCUCCUAAAAAAACCGAUACGGCAAUAAAUGCCAAAGAACAAACACAAGCAUUCUGGUUUGCUGCAGGUGAAGAAUCUGAAGCUGGCCGAGAAUUGCUGGCUGCCUAGAACCUAACAGUUAUAGGCGACCCGAUAGCCCAGGGUUAGAUCAAGGACGCUGGUUACUAUUGUUAUCAAUCUUGAUGUGAAGAGAGGAUCCGACAGCUUCUAGGGUUACUCUUCGAGAUCAAAUGAAGCGGAUUGGCCUCAGUGGCGUGUUCUGCAUCGAGGUUGAUCUUAUAUUCAGAACACUAAGCAUGUAGUGGGCAAUACGUAGUUUGCCGAGGACGAGAGUUCGACUCUCUCCACCUCCA
rnacentral:tmRNA from 1 species